AAGUAGCGGCGAGCGAACUUGGGAAAGAUUUUAGAUUGGUUGGGGCUGAUUACAGCUGUUCAAUACCAAGCCAAGGGAGGUGAUAGCCCUCUAUUAACGAAAAAAAGUAGGUCUCUUUGGCUGAAAAAGGGGGGACCGCCCUCCAGUGAGACGCAUGAACAAUCGAUAGUGAACAAGUACCGUGAGGGAAAGCUGAAAGAAAACCCCUAUCUGGGGAGUGAAAUAGAGCUAAAAUCUUUAAGUUUUCAAUCAAGGUGGUGUACCUUUUGCAUAAUGGGCUAACAACUUAAUGUGUGUAGCGAGCGUAACGCGAGGCACGCGUAGCGAAAGCGAGUCCGAUAAGGGCAUAUAGUUACAUGUGUUAAACCCGAAACCGGGUGAUCUAUCCGUGGGCAGGCUAAAGGGAGUCUGAAGGGCCGCACCCUAGGAUGUGGCAAAAUCCAGGGAAGACCUGCGGAUAGGGGUGAAAGGCCAAUCAA
rnacentral:rRNA from 1 species